rnacentral:misc_RNA from 1 species
AAGGAAGAGAGAAGCGAUUGUUCAGCUUUUCAGCAUGUCCAUUCUCUGCCGUGCAAACGUGAGCUCAACCCCGCUCGACCCUCCCCCCACGGCCUGCCACAGUGCCCCCAUCGCGUGGUGCGAAGAGGCCCUAGACACACGCGUUACAGCCAUGCGCCGACUCGGUCACCGGCGAGUACGGCCCCCGCCGCAUGCUCUACCCACUCCGGCUUCGCAGGCCGACCCGCCGCCGCUCCCAUCAUGCCGGGCGUCAUUUGGUGCAUCCCCCUCGGGGUGGCGCAGGCUCCCCACGCCAGCAGUGGGCAGUGCGAGGGUCGGGUGAGAUACGCUCGAGUCACGUUGGCACGUUGCCUAUCAUGCGGAUGGCAUACAAUAUAUUCAAUGUCGGGGGUUGCCUCGACGCCGCGCCAUGCAGGGCCUGACCGCCGACAUCAGCAGCGAUACAUCGCUCUGACCUCCCUACGUCACUGGUGCUUGACCUUGUAACCACCAGAAGUGUUAAGGCAUUUUGUCAGGGAUAGGGAAGGGGAGGGCUGCUUGGCUUCCUCACAGAGAGUGCGGUGGAGACCGGACCGCGUGAUAUUAACACGCGCUGACAUCCCCCACGUCUGUCAUCAGGUAAGGGAGAAGAGCUAAUGGAAAGGAGUGGACGGGAGGGGCGGCACAUCGAGCGGAAGUGGCGCCCCCUCACUCUGGGCUUUUGCAUGUGUUGCCUUUUUCUCUUAUUGCUUUUUUUUUUCGGCUCUUUCCUGCCCUCCCUGCCAUCCUCUUUUCCCUCCGCCCACACUCUGCCAACUGUGGCGGCCACUCGUUCUCAUCUCUGCGCUCUUCUCUCUCUGGGAGUGUGCAUCUCUGAGUGCUUGUGUGCCGGUGCUUAUGUGUGAUGGCGGGGCCGGAAGCGAGGGAAUGUCUGUUUGAACCUUCAGCAAAUGUCUUUGCUGUUUCUCAAAUACCUUUCUCUCUGUGCCCCUCCCGCAACCUCCCCCGCCCUACCUCCUCUACUCGGUGGCAGCCCGCUCGCUCACGUGUGCAGAAUGAAAGGCUGCAUCACUGGUGGGCGCGUGCGUGUGCGUGUGCACGUGCCUCUGUCUCUCUUUCGCUCUGCCUGCCUGGUGCGAAAGGGGAGGGCACGCUUUACCCGUGAAGACGCACACGCACGCGCCCACGUCUCCUCUCCCUUUUUUCCUUCGUCUCUCUUCCCCCUCUUUCUUCCCGGUCACUGAUUCUCCGUUGGCGCAUCGCUCUGCCUUCCGUCUUCGGCUCGGUGUGAGUCGCGCUCUUGUCGGUGUGCCUCGCUUCCUCGUUUUGCCCUCUUGUUUUUCAUGGUUCAGUCCUUUCUUCGUCGUUUUUGCUCUGGACACCCUCACUGAUGUUUGCUGCGCCCCCCUCCCCCUUCCCUUCUCUCACCCCCACCAUCUACAACGACAGAUGCUGGGAUGGGGACAGGUGCACCCGCAUACGCACACAUGGACGCACAGAGACACGUCGUGUCGGCAGCCCUCCAAAAGCAAGGGGAAGUGGCAAGUGAGGAUUUCCACGGCUGCGCAUCUUUAUGCGCGUAGCGUCAAGGAAAAACAGUGAGAGGGUGGAGAGAGAAAGGGGCGGAUGGCGCGGGAGGCCAAGGAAGGGACAGUGCGCUCGUGCGUGAGCGUCUCGGUGCGCACGUGUGGUGUGGCAGCGGCGGGGAGGUGGAGAUGCACCUUUUUUAGCCUUCACCGUUUUUCUUCUCUCAUUCCCUUCUCCUCAGUGUGCGACACUCUCUGCCUCCUCCCUCUCCCCUACUUCUUCUUUGGUUCCGUUCGUGUGCUCCGUUGGUUUUACUUAUAACGAAGUUGAAUGCCGCGUGUUGAUCUGUACAACGCACCAAGAGUGCACAGGCAACGUGUGUUGACUGGAAAGGUGUGGAUGGAGGAAUGACCUGUGCGCCUGGUCGCGAAGGACCAUGGUGGCGUUCGUAUGCGUGUGGUUAUGAAUAAGAGUUGUUGAGCACUUCGAAAACGAAAAACAAGAGACGAAUGCAACGAGGGACGAGCACUUGGAUUAUGAGGUGAUUACGCUUGGCCAACAUUUUGCCGCGCACGCCCUCUCCCCACUGAGGACUUGGCCUCGGCUGUAUGACGUUCUUGCUUGCUAGCUUCUCUCUGUAUGUCUGCGUGCUUCGGCUCUCUUCUUUCCGCUGUUGCGGAUUCGGCACGUGCGCGUCGCGCCGAGAUGUGGUGCAGAGGGCUGAGGCAAAAGGAGGAGGAGGACAUCAACCGUUGCUUCCUAUGCGGCAAAUCACACACACACACACACACACGGUCGUGUCUCUUAUCCUUUCUUUCUCUCGCUUUCUCUCUCUGAGGUUUGCCACCACUCUUCUGCCACCACGGCGACCCCCCCCCCCCCCCCCCCCGCACUUUUCUUCGACCUUUCCGUGGUGUGGGGUUGUCUCUCUGUCUCCUCCUCUCUUAUCACCCGCCCCUCUGUGCACGUGCGGACACUGCUGUGUUUGCCUUUGGCUAG